CUCUUUUCUUGCACGAGAUACUGUUUGGAUGGGUGCCUGCACUCAAGUGCCUGGUACUGAAAUAAGGAGAUCACCAGAAGGCAAGACGAGCUAAGUCCACCACCUAUAAAAACACAAGCUCUACCUUUUGUCUCAGUUCCAUUUUGGACUCAGUCUUUUGUGAUUACUCUCUUUCACUACAAUAUUCAAGCGUGUCACAUGACUGGGAUCAGAACACUCGUUCCAAAGGGUUCUAACAGGUCACACGGCAGAUGAAAUGGUUAACGGCGAUAUCUG